GACGAACGCUGGCGGCGUGCCUAAUACAUGCAAGUAGAACGCUGAAGGAGGAGCUUGCUUCUCUGGAUGAGUUGCGAACGGGUGAGUAACGCGUAGGUAACCUGCCUGGUAGCGGGGGAUAACUAUUGGAAACGAUAGCUAAUACCGCAUAAUAGUAGAUGUUGCAUGACAUUUGCUUAAAAGGUGCAAUUGCAUCACUACCAGAUGGACCUGCGUUGUAUUAGCUAGUUGGUGAGGUAACGGCUCACCAAGGCAACGAUACAUAGCCGACCUGAGAGGGUGAUCGGCCACACUGGAACUGAGACACGGCCCAGACUCCUACGGGAGGCAGCAGUGGGGAAUCUUCGGCAAUAGACGGAAGUCUGACCGAGCAACGCCGCGUGUGUGAAGAAGGUUUUCGGAUCGUAAAGCUCUGUUGUAAGAGAAGAACGAGUGUGAGAGUGGAAAGUUCACACUGUGACGGUAUCUUACCAGAAAGGGACGGCUAACUACGUG
rnacentral:rRNA from 1 species